rnacentral:lncRNA from 1 species
CAAAACAUUAUAGGUCACUUUGGACCAAAGCCAUUGAAUUUGAAAAAUAUCCAACUUCAAGUGCUCAUAACUUUCUCAUGAAAACUCCAAAUGAUGCAAAAUUUAAGUCUAAAUUUAUUAUCUUAAAAUUAUAUACAACUUUUAUGUUGGAGGUGUUUCCAUUUGAGGGUUGCAUAAUUGAAACAGAAGGGCUUGAAGAGGCUGGGUUUUGGUAAAAAAAUUCAAAGGGGAACCUAGACAUGUU